CCCGCCUAUAUACCACCGUCGUCAGCUUACCCUCUGAGGGUCCAACAGUAAGCACAAUUGGCACAGCCCAAAACGUCAGGUCGAGGUGUAGCGUAUGAAAGGGGAAGAAAUGGGCUACAUUCACCCUUUACGGUGUACUACGAAAGAUGUAAUUGAAACAUUCAUCAGAAGGAGGAUUUAGCAGUAAGCAGAAAGUAGAGCGUUCCGCUGAAACUGGCCCUGAAGCGCGCACACACCGCCCGUCACUCUCCCCGAGCCCCCAAAUUUUGCCCUAAAUAAAACACCACCCACCGCUAAGGGGAGGCAAGUCGUAACAUGGUAAGUGUACCGGAAGGUGCACUUGGAAAAAC
rnacentral:rRNA from 1 species